CCGCUUGACGAAGAUGAAGUAGUCUCGCACAUCCUGGAAGGACUGGAUGCAGAUUACAACCCUUUCGUCUCUGCCAUAUCUAUGCGUGUAGAUCAAGGCGUUGGCCUGAAUGAGGUCUACUCUCUUUUGCUCUCGGCCGAGG
rfam:Hordeum vulgare subsp. vulgare, WGS project CAJW01000000 data, contig: morex_contig_41769